CGUGCGGCAGCCUACCAUGCAAGUCGAACGGAAACAUGUCUAGCUUGCUAGAUGAUGUCGAGUGGCGGACGGGUGAGUAAUACUUAGGAACAUGCCCUUGGGUGGGGGAUAACUAUUGGAAACGAUAGCUAAUACCGCAUAACGUCUACGGACCAAAGGGGGGAGCUUGCUCCUCUCGCCCAAAGAGUGGCCUAAGCGAGAUUAGCUUGUUGGUGAGGUAAAGGCUCACCAAGGCGACGAUCUCUAGCUGUUCUGAGAGGAAGAUCAGCCACACUGGGACUGAGACACGGCCCAGACUCCUACGGGAGGCAGCAGUGGGGAAUAGUGCACAAUGGAGGAAACUCUGAUGCAGCCAUGCCGCGUGUGUGAAGAAGGCCUUCGGGUUGUAAAGCACUUUCAGUUGUGAGGAAAGCUUGGUGGUUAAUACCCAUCAGGUAUGACGUUAGCAACAGAAGAAGGACCGGCUAACUCCGUGCCAGCAGCCGCGGUAAC
rnacentral:rRNA from 1 species